rnacentral:rRNA from 1 species
UCCUUCGGGAUGUAAACUUCGCAAGAACAGGAAGAAUAAGUAAGAGUUAAUAUCUCUUACGAUGACGGUACUGUUUGUAAGCUCCGGCUAACUCCGUGCCAGCAGCCGCGGUAAUACGGGGGGAGCAAGCGUUGUUCGGAUUUACUGGGCGUAAAGGGCGCGUAGGCGGCCACCGCAAGUCGACUGUGAAAUCUCCGGGCUUAACCCGGAAAGGUCAGCCGAUACUGCGGGGCUAGAGUGCAGAAGGGGCAACUGGAAUUCUCGGUGUAGCGGUGAAAUGCGUAGAUAUCGAGAGGAACACCUGCGGCGAAGGCGGGUUGCUGGGCUGACACUGACGCUGAGGCGCGAAAGCUAGGGGAGCGAACGGGAUUAGAUACCCCGGUAGUCCUAGCCUUAAACGAUGAAUGCUUGGUGUCUGGGGUUUUAUAGUCCCCGGGUGCCGUCGCUAACGCUUUAAGCAUUCCGCCUGGGGAGUACGGUCGCAAGACUGAAACUCAAAGAAAUUGACGGGGGCCUGCACAAGCGGUGGAGUAUGUGGCUUAAUUCGAUGCAACGCGAAGAACCUUACCUGGGCUUGAACUGUGGUGAACGGGCUUGAAAACAG